rnacentral:rRNA from 1 species
GACGAACGCUGGCGGCGUGCUUAACACAUGCAAGUCGAACGGAAAGGCCUCUUUCGGGGGGUACUCGAGUGGCGAACGGGUGAGUAACACGUGAGUAACCUGCCCUUGACUUUGGGAUAACUUCCGGAAACUGGGGCUAAUACCGGAUAGGAGCUCCUGCUGCAUGGUGGGGGUUGGAAAGUUUCGGCGGUUGGGGGUGGACUCGCGGCUUAUCAGCUUGUUGGUGGGGUAGUGGCUUACCAAGGCUUUGACGGGUAGCCGGCCUGAGAGGGUGACCGGCCACAUUGGGACUGAGAUACGGCCCAGACUCCGACGGGAGGCAGCAGUGGGGAAUAUUGCACAAGGGGUGGAAGCCUGAUGCAGCAACGCCGUGGGCGGGAGGACGGCCUUCGGGUUGUAAACCGCUUUCGCUCAUGACGAAGCUUUGUGUGACGGUAGUGGGUAAAGAAGCACCGGCUAACUACGUG